AAAGUCCGUAACAAGGUCUCCGUAGGUGAACCUGCGGAGGGAUCAUUACACAAAUAUGAAGGCGGGCUGGAACCUCUCGGGGUUACAGCCUUGCUGAAUUAUUCACCCUUGUCUUUUGCGUACUUCUUGUUUCCUUGGUGGGUUCGCCCACCACUAGGACAAACAUAAACCUUUUGUAAUUGCAAUCAGCGUCAGUAACAAAUUAAUAAUUACAACUUUCAACAACGGAUCUCUUGGUUCUGGCAUCGAUGAAGAACGCAGCGAAAUGCGAUAAGUAGUGUGAAUUGCAGAAUUCAGUGAAUCAUCGAAUCUUUGAACGCACAUUGCGCCCUUUGGUAUUCCAAAGGGCAUGCCUGUUCGAGCGUCAUUUGUACCCUCAAGCUUUGCUUGGUGUUGGGCGUCUUGUCUCUAGCUUUGCUGGAGACUCGCCUUAAAGUAAUUGGCAGCCGGCCUACUGGUUUCGGAGCGCAGCACAAGUCGCACUCUCUAUCAGCAAAGGUCUAGCAUCCAUUAAGCCUUUUUUCAACUUUUGACCUCGGAUCAGGUAGGGAUACCCGCUGAACUUAAGCAUAUCAAUAA
rnacentral:rRNA from 1 species